GUGUUCUUGGAAAGUCGAGACUUGUCUCCAAAAGGGUUCACGGAUUUCUUCCAUUUUGUGGACUGUUUUUGGACUGAUUUCGUGUUUCCGUUAUUUUUCUCGUAUCACUUGCGGAAUUUUUUUUAACUAAAUUUUUGGUGGUUUGGUCAGACCAUUUUAUUCAAAAGGGCCCAAAUGACCAAAAUUACAACAAAUAUGUCCAAAAUUCGAAUCCAUGACCCAGUCCAAAAGAAAAGGAAGAUGAAAAGUUUCCUUUUUUUCUAAUAUAGAUAGGUUUAAGACAAGAGAACAAAGUACUCAUCCCUUUCUCUUCAAAUUGUCCCCAACGAUGUUGCCGGUGGUAUUUCAAGCUCCGAUUUCUCCUUCUCUGGGUUUUGUUCUAGCUAAAUCCAUGGUGGAAAGAAUGAUAUUGUUGCAUGCCUUUUGUUUCUUUCACCUCGUUUGCCAAAGAAUCAGACACUGAGUUCCCUUCCCUAGAUGUAUGUGUAACAGUGACAUUUAGCUUCUGAAUGAAUAGUCCGAGCUCCUCAAUAAUAUCAACAAGCUCCCAAGGUUUUGGUAUUAUCGGAUCCACUUGAUCAGUCUCCGUCAUCAGAGGUUGGUCGCUGGCCACCAAGGCCAUCGUUUCCGACUAUCUUUAACUAGGGUUCCUAUUUUUUCGGCGCUGGCUUCACUUGCGGGAUUACAGUAUAUUGUUAAUGAUUUUUCUUCCUGGUGUUGUAUAAUGAAAGUGAACAACUGAAUUUUUUUCAUUUAGACAGUUGAAAACAAAGGAAACAUUUUAGAGGUCAUUUGAUUUGAA